UUCUCUCAUCUCUUUGACGACAUUGCGAAAAUCUUUUCAACAAAUAUCGUAAAGAGGAUUAUUCCGUUCAAACAUUGAUAUUGUUAUAGAAAAGUGAAAAAAUUAAUGACGGCUUGUUGAACUUGCGUAGGUAUGUCUCGUGCGAGGAUAACGUGGUAGUGUCAUCGGUAAUAAUAAUUGUGCUACGAAGGUUCAAUGUUACUUGUUAAUUUAUCAUUAUCAUUACUGUUAUUACGAUACGGUAUUAUUAGAAAGUAAAAAAACGCGGGCUGCUCGAUGGUCGUGUGUUAUAAUAUUUGAAGAAAUAUAUAUAUAUAUAUAUAUAUAUUAAGUAUAAUUUAAUUAUGGCUUACAUUCGUUAACUCGUUAUAAUUAGCCCGAAGCACGGUAUAAAAUUCCAAUCAACCUCGCGAUUAAGUAACAUUGCUUAUCUGCUCUGCUACCGUCAAUAAGCCGGUCGUGGUCGCGCCGAGCUGAGUAUAUCGUAACUCCCUCGUCACAAAAAGAAACCAAAUAACAAAUAACAUAACGAAAGAGAAAAAAAUGUCUUCUCGAUCGAUUCGACGGAAAAAAAAAAUCAAUAACGGGGGCCACGAUUGACUCAUGAUCCGUUUAUUUGUCGAUAGUUUGAUUUGGCGAUUUUCGAGCAUCACCGCCGUUACGUUCGAUAUUAGGCGCAAAGGUUGGGUUGGGCGAGUGUGUUACGUCAAUUUCAUCGUCGUUCGUUUGAACAAUGGCGUGUUGUUACGCGCGUGUCUAUAGGUCUCUGUGUGAUUAACGGUUACAGCUAUUAUCGAAGCGUAAUCUGAUUAUCAUAUAAUUGACGCACUGUCAGCAGCCGGGUAUAACGUGUAAAAUUGCUGCGGGUGUGGUAAUUGGUACCGAGUAGUCGUAGUUUCAGUACAGUAGCAUAGCGGCAUAGCUAGUACUAGCAGUAUACGUGCGUACAUAUUUGACACGUUUAUCGACGUCUCUCCGCUCUCACGUCGUCGUCGUUGUCCCGAAGCGUUCGCGUAACCCCCGUCAUUUAGCGCAUCGGUUCGUUCAUCGUUAGAGAACACGUCCUCGGACUAUUUUUAUAAUUUCAUUCAGAUCGAAAGACGACUAACAACGACACCACCCGGUGCAAGGUAUACAUCGGAUGUGCGGGGGUAACUGUAUGAAGUUCAUCUCCCACGGGGAACGAAUAUCCGAACGAAUUCGUGGGGCCAAGUUGCUUCGCGUUAAAAUUCGAGAAUUUAGAGCAACGAUUGGAAGAGAUACUGGAAUGGGAAUUAUUUUUCUCGCGUCUCUCGAAGUAUAUCUAUAUCCAUUUAAAAAUACAUCUAGACACAGACGACGUCAAGGUUCUAAAGAUUCGGUACAGCUAGAUCAGUUUUUAUAUCUCUACGUACGUCACGACGUACGCGAGAGCGUCUCCGCUCGCUGUCUCGCGAACGUCGCGGUUGCGUCGCGACGACGGCGUCGCGUGUCGCCUUCAUCGGCAGAUAAAAAUGCGGUCAUAGUCGUCGUUCAGAAUUCCUAGGGAUUCCAUUAGUCCGUAAAUACGUGUAUGUAUACGUAUUACCGUGCAUACAGAGUUCGUGCGAAUAGAUUUUAUAAACGUACGCGAUGUACGUUGUAAAAUAAAAUCGCUAUCGUCUCCGUCGUCGUUAUUAUUUAUUUCAUUUCAUUCGCUUUUUAUUUAUUUUUCGUGCGGUAUUUCGAAGUUCGUAGAUUUUACGUUAGACGUAUACGUGUGAGAUACGUAUGGAAUCGCACCAGCGCUGAUUUAAUGAAUGAUAUGAAUGCGAAUUUCUACCGAGUAGCGUGUAUUUUAUCGCGUGGGUAGAAUGCAUUUUUUCCAUUUUCUUUUUCAAUUACGUGCAACGUAUUCAUUCACGUUCCGUGUUCAGUUCUUAGAUCAUGCCUAUUUUAUUUUAUUUCCUAUCUGUCAGUGACAUCAUUAAACGUCCAGAUGUAUACGUCAUCGAUGACUAGAUCGUAAUUUAUUCUUUGACGAAACACUCGUGUACAGAAUAACACGAGGAAUAAUAUAACUAGAUCCGACAUAGACGGGUGCGGGUGUCUGCAUUCCGAAAGAUUGGAGGGGGUUGCGAAAUUGCAAUUAUUGCAAUUCGUCUACUUUUCUCAAAAAAUCUAGAAAUUAUUUUUCCAAUUUUCGGACGAUAAAAUUUUCGUUUAAAAUUUAGCGUGCCUGAUGUCGUUCCGAAGAAAUUUACCGUUGAUCGGUAUUAGCGGUGUUCUUCGAAAUUCCAAAAAAUGAUAAAUCAAAAGUCACCCGAAGGACAAAAGCGAAAGAAUAUUUAAAAUAAACUAAAUUGGAAUGAAUUGGAAUCUGAUGAAAUGCGAUCAAAGUCAUAUUGAGUCAUUUUGUUUUUCUACUUUAAUUUGCUUUUUUGGACGUAGCGAGAUUGUUUCGUAUUUUAUCGGCGUCAAAUUGACAAUAUCGAUAUUUCUAACACGAAAGUUUUUUCACUCUGUACCAAUAUACACGCUGCUAUUGUACUCGCACAAUAUCACGAUGAUUAUGACUAUGAAAUUUAUUUAGUUUUUUUCAAUGAUUGUGUUGUCUAUUACAGUCGAUGUGAAAUAUGAUCCAGUUACAUUCGAAUAACUUGUGUUGUAUCAUUUUGAAAUCGUGGAACGUAAAAUAAAAAUGAUUUUUUCUUCUCCAAAAUGUAUGUACCGCAACUUUUGAAUUUCACUCUAGAGACGACUUACUUUUUCGAAAUAUUUGUGGCCAACUGCUCACCCUCUGGGGAAUAAAUGUAUAUAUAGAAAACUGGAAAAAGCCAGCAGAAGCCGUACAUCUCGAGGUUUAGACGUUCUACCGGAUGGUGCCUCGAUUGAUUGACGAUUAAAUAAGCGACUCAGACUCGCGGCAGACGCUGCUGAAGUAGCUUUUUUCCAUGAUUAUUCAUAUUCCGAUUCGUCGUAGGUCCAAUUUGUAUACAUAAAAUACACGCGGUAUUUUCUCGUUUUUUUUUUUUUUCGAAUUCCUUUACUCGAAAAUGGAGGAGCGACAAAGUAGGUAACAUCACCGUCCUAACUAUGUACCUUAUACUUUUUUGGAUGACGCGGGGCGCAGAAAAUACGCGCCGUGUAGAUAAACGAAACGCGAAAUUGCAUUUUGUUUGUUCGUUCCCUCGUUCCUUAGUUUCUUAGCUCGCUGUACGUAAAUAUAUAUAUAUAUAUAUAUACAUACAUUUAUGUAUGUAAAGUACAAGGUAUAUGAAGCUAGCUUAUACCGUGUAUUUAUACAUUUAAGCUUACCUAACCUACCCUAACUUAUAUCUUCGGAAGAAACGACUCCGAUAUUUAUGACUUCGUACUGCAAAAAAGGAGAGGGGGUCAGGCGGGAAGGGGUGGGUUUCGUUUUACAUCCAAAGCUCCGUUAUAUAGGCUCUUCGCGUACAUAUGUGCUCAUACCAUGCAUCUCUCGUCUAAUACAUACGUAUACAUACACAGACGAUAGGUACAUACGAUACACAUACAGUUGUAUCUCUACGCUUGUACAUAAGUAUAAUAAUAAAUAGAGGACUGAACACCGGUAUUUUUCAACUAUAUAUACAUAUCGCACGUGGGCUAUAUAUUUGUGCGGUAUUACGCGAGAGUACGGAGAGGAGACAUGGAAAAGAGAAUCGCGUAACUAUUUCAGUGUGUACGCGCGAAAUCCCGUAGGUAAAAUUUAUGGCUACAGUUGAGAACUGCAUUAUCUCAAUUCCGGAAACCGAAAUCACGCGUGCCGCGGUUGCGUCUGACUGUCGUUUAUUUUUGUAACGUGCAUAGAAAUAUGCACAUGCAUACCUGAUAAGCCGAGGACCUUGCAUACCUGAUAUGCCCAACUUACGUCACGUGAUCGCGAAGAUUACCUACCUUCUCGAUUACUCGAUCAUCGUAUUUGCGUGAGCAAUCGUUUUGAGGAGCUUUUAAUUUUUUUGUCAAUUUCCGAUGGAAUUUCACGCUCUUUCCGUUAUUCGGGGUCGGAUUCUUCACGAUUUUUAGGUCAAAGAAAAUGAGAGCGAAAAACCGUGUCCCUCGAUCGUUUAAUCGUUCGACGAAAUGAACGCGGAUGACGCGUCAAAAAAUAGGAAAUUCCGUGCGAAAAAAGUUCAUCAAUUUAAAUAUAAGUAAGAAUAAUUGCUGUUUCCGUUCGGUUGGCUAAACUCAUGACGAAUUAAGGCCUCGUUUUCACACACCGCCGCGUCUACAUAGGGCUUUUAUAUACGUACACGUAUGUACGUACAAGUAUAUUCAUUUGCCUCUGGUCUCUUCGUGGCGUAUCGCGCUGUAUACGAAUACGAUACGAUAUCCUCUACGCGACGCCGCGAUGCUCCAGUUGUUGUUCCCACCCCAUCCUCGUUCACCUCUUCUGACGACGACAUCGACGACGACGACGACGAGGACGAGGACGAGGACGAGGACGAGGACGACGACGAUUAGCCCCGUGCGGCGGAAUUCAAUUCUGUUAGUUCAAUUCAAUUCAAUUCAAUUCAAUUUAAUUUAGCAUAUAUCUACACCUACUACGUAUAUUGUACAUGUAAUCUGCAGAUAGUUCACUUCCAUUCUCUCGGCUGCAGUGUACGCGGGACACGCGUUCAAAGGGGUUCGCCCGAACGGCCAGGGCGAAAGGGGAUGAGGUCUGGUAGAAACGUCACAAGCAUGCUUGCAGUUAAUUACGUACGAAACUAUAUAAUUACGUUGCAUAUACACCUUAUAGUUCGACGGACACGUUAUGCUCCGCUUCUCGUUCGGGCGAAGUGCGUUUCUUUUUUUUCUUUUUUUUUUCCUUUUCUCUCAACCGCCCAAACUCUUUCCUAAGUUUUCGAACUUACGAGUCAAUCGUACUUCGAACGUGCCGGAUGGACCAGCACGUGCGCGAUGUCAUUUCCGGCGUGCAAAAGUCAUUGAUCAUUCUGAAAACUUCCAGUUCAACGACUCGUCGCGUCCCUUCCGGCGGAAACCAUCUUCUACUGCGCGUUUCGCGCGAUUCAAAUUUCCCGCCACUGCGUACGCGCAUCGGUACGAUAUCGGGACUUGUAGACCGCUACGUUAGCGGAAAAACAAAAAAAAAAAAAAAUGAUGAUUCGAAAAUAGAAAAGGAAAGACAAAGAUAUAAUCGCGCCCGCGUUUACACCAAUAUCCGAAUUAGCGAGGGUUCGUCGUCGUCACCGCGACGUACCAUCAUCAGUCAUUCGACCGAAUUGUACAAAUUGGAAUAUUAAUUUAUUAUCGUUGUCUAGGUUAAAUUGUCGUCGUAGUUGCGUCAGCGCUUAUAUAUAUCUACGCGGCACAGCCAUGCAUAACCAUUGUUUUGAAAAGUUAAUUGAAUAUGUAGAAUUUCAAUUUGGGGAUCGGAUCUAACGACUCCGUGCCGCGAUCGUGUAAACGUAUAGGUGUUUCGUUUCGUACCUACGUGAUACGUAUACAUCGCAAGCGCACACAUCCAUGUACUCGGUAAUUUACAUACAAACCUACAUGCGCUUCGUCGUCCCUCCGCGCUCAUUAAUCACCUCCUGCACCGAGGCGGCGCGGCGGCGUCUUCCUGAAAUUUACUGCACGUGUGUGGCGACGAGGCUUGUCGGGGCGGUUUAUCCCUCUCGCCUAUUUUGAUUACACCGAACCGUAUAACACACCUAUGACGUACACGCGCGUGUGCGUACUCAUCCGUACCCUGGUCCCCCGUGCAGCAUCUGUUCAACGCCAACCGACCCGACGACAAGGGCUUUUCCAUUCUGACGCCGCACUACCGUUACACUUUUCUCCCCAUCUUAUAUACUCACCUUGACUCUUCGCGGUUUUAAGGGUUUAGCAGCCAACGACCGCACGACACGCGACCUCAUACCUUUUCCCCUUUCAUAACCCCCCCUAUUUUAUAAGCUACGAAGCUAAACACGGAUUUACUCGCUUUUCGAAAGCAAAUUUUCCAUCCCCGACUGUCGCAGUUUUUGAAACUAGGCAAUUCGCACUUCGGAUUGAAACCCGUCUGCACGGAUCUUUAUCGGAGCGUAUAUAGAGCGAAGUGAACCGUAAAUUACGAUAACUCUUCGCUUCACCGUCGUUUAUUUAUUCAUCCGUUUUAACGGGUUUAGUAAUCAUCGUACAUGAAAGACAAAGAUUUCCUUUGAUACCCCGAUAAUUUUUUUCUCAUUCGUUAUAGCCUCUCUUAGCAAUUUCAUUAGCAAUUAGUCAUCCGGGGGAUCAGAGUCUCGUCGUUAAGGACUCUGAAACAAAGUUUCCCCCGUUCGACGCACGUACACGCGGCUCGAUCACAAGUGGUGCAGUUAGACGCUCCGCGAUUAGACGUAGAUCGGCACAAAAUAUCCCUAAGGGGGGGUCGAACCACCUCGACUGUAAAUUCCCCCUAGGGAUAUUUCGUGCCAACCUGCUUUUUCAUCGCGCAGUGUCUAACUACACCACUUGCGAUUGAGCCGCGUGUACGUUGUGUCGCGCAGCGAUGGCGGUAAGACACCGUUGAAUUUCGCGUUGGAAUAAAAGAAACGUAAAGUAAAAUAGGGGAUAGGAGUAAAAAGAAUCGAGGGAAAAAGUUCGGAUUAUAAGGACAGAACUUUCAAGUCUUUCUGGAUUAACCGCGGGCACUCGACCACCGCGCCAGCUUAUGCGUGCACUCGGUUUCGAAACAGUCGAGUACGUUUAAGUUGUUAAUUUCUUUUUCCCCCCCUCACCCCCCACAAUGGGAUUCGAAAAAUUGCGACACGAUCGUAGCGCGAUAAAACGAAACGCGAGCGGGUGGCUAGUUCUGGUAAAACGCGGAACGAUACGACGUUUUGAAUUUCGAAAGAACGUAUCAACGUUGCUCAGCAACGACGUGUGCGUCUACCAAUUUAUUUUAGUUACGUCGGUCACAGUCGUCGUCCGGAUCCCGUAGCUAUAAUUGUCCGGUUAAUCAACGAGCUUUAGUGCCCCGCGCCAGUUCCGCGGUAUUGCCCAUUCGCGGUAGGGAAAUUGAGUAAAAUAUACGGGGAAGAAAAUAGAGGAAUCGCGGCGGUCGUCGGGUUGAUGGGAAAUCCGGGUGAUGGGACAGUCGGCGUCAUCUGCAGAAAGAGGAGAUUUGGGAUUUGCUUUCCGAGGGGCGAUUACUCGCGUUGCAUACAUCCCCCGUACACACGUAUGGUAUUUGGGGUAAGGGUUAUAGGUUAUGGUCACCCCGAACGGGUUCGACCCUCCGACGCAAGGGUCGCGGUCGACUGCCUUUUCAAUGCAGCGACGCAAUUAUGGAUGUUGGUAAAUGUUGCUAGCAAAUGGUGGAGGUUCAAUUUCCCGCAUUAUUUCACUUGCGGUUUAUUUAGCUAUGCCGUAUAUAUAUGUAACCAAUGUCUCACGUCGUACAAUCACAUGCAUUAUCAAUGCCCACAGUAAACUGCGGGGUGAAAGAAUAUCAGAUGAAAGUUUUCCAAAGCAAAAUAAUGCAGUCGUUACUUUAUCAUCCGAUGGGCAGUUUGAACAUUUUUCAUUUCAUUGUGUUUCCUUUUUUCCUACUUUUACUUUAUCAUGUAUUCUGUUCUUUUUGUUAUCUGGUCUCAAUUCGUCAUAUAAGAUAGGUACACAAAUGCUCCGAAGCCUACACCACCUAACACCAAUUGUACACAAUUUUCGAUUAUUAUUUGGUUAUUGAUGUUUUAAUCAUCUAAUCAUUGCUAUUAUUGUUUUCUAUUUUUAAUUAUCAUCAAGUGGUUUUUAAGAGUUUGGUUUCCCCUGCAUGAACGAACAAUUUUUUUAUCACUAUUCGCAGAAAAUCUUGAUUUAUUAAUUUACUCAAAACUAUUCUUCAAGAGGGUACGAUUAUUCGGUAUGGUUAAUCUCGAAUAAUCGUUCUCUUCUGUUUUUUCGUUCUUCUUUCAAUUUUUUCCCCUUUUACUCCCUCUCUUCAACUAAUCGUUAUUUUCGAAGUAAAUUUCAUGUGUCUUAUAUCUAAUAUGAAUCGAUUUGUUAUACAUGUUAUACAUAUAUGUCCACGUACGAGUCAUUAUUGUACCUUGAACGUUGAAAAAAAUGGACGAACCACCGUUAGGUCAGGUCGGAGGUGAGGUCGAAUCGUAGAUCCUACCUCCCGAUAUCGUUACAUGGUCAUGACAUUUUUGAGUGUAUCUCGCACAGCUAUAAAAUCGCCCAAAACAUCAUCUAUUUCACUACCCCCACCCCGAAAACACAACACUCGCAUCGUCGUGGAUGUAUCAAGUAAACGCACACUUCUAACCACAGAACAUACAUAGGUAUAUAUAUAUUAUAUGCAUUUAUACUGUAAACCUCAUAUAUGUACGUACAUACGUGGUUACAUACAUAUCCAUACGGUCGUACCGAUCUUCCAGUCAACGAAUCCACCGUAUCGUGCAAUUCGCUGUAAGUAAGUGAAGCAACGAAAGUUGGCAAAGUGAAACACGACCGCAUUGCCGGAGCUCGGUAAUAUUUCAAACGGCAAUAUUUCUAACAACGAAUUGGCUGCUUUUACCUGCAUCGAUCUAUCCAAACUGGGGGGGGGGGGGGGGGUAAUGCAAACUCUACGUGAUUUACUUUUAUUCAUUCUCUUUGAUCGGAUUUUUGGGGUCGGAGAACAUUGAAUUGAUUUUUAUAUCACGUCGGACUUGGGAUUGAAAAGUACAGUCGAAACGGUCGCACUUGUUGUUAUCGAGCUCUGCGAAAUUUCACGCCGAUACGUACGGGUACGUAUGCCUACGUAUGUACGAAUAUAUGUGUAACAUAAUUCACACCCCGAGUUCACGUACUCUUACACACACCAUCUGCAGCACCUGCACUCUUAUUACCACCCCCGCAUAUUUCGUACAUACCACCGACAACACGCCAAAUUUUCAUUGGAUAAAUUGCUGAGCAGACUUUCAUCUGUUUACUACACUCUCCACGCAGGUUCGAAGCGCUGCACAAAAAAUUAAUUAUUGUUGCAAGUAAAUGCUAUCGAGUGCAUAUUCAUAAUGUGUGUUUGUAUGUCCGCACUCCACGUCGUUAAAUGCUGAAGAAACGAAAAGAAUUAAAAGUCACAGAAUUGUUAUGAAAAUUCACGCGAAUCAAUGGAUAAGUAUUCUGCAGUGAUUCGAGUCGGUAAAUUGAUUGAAAAAAGAAAAAAAAUACAAAGAAGCUACUUGCAAUUAAAAUUAUACUUUUCAUCUAUACUCAUUGUCAAACAUGAAAAUAUACCAAUUGACAUUCACAUUAUAUAUAUACAUAGUUGGACAUUCAAGAGAUAAAAUCUGAAAACGGUGUAAAUGUUAUUAUUACAGAUACAGGUAUGUUCUGAUUUGAAAGUUACACGGUCACGUAACUCGAGUAUUCAUAUUUUCACGGACAGAAGUUUGUUGGGCAGAAUUUUCUGAAUGACCAGCAAUGCCAGAAAAACCUUGUGCAAUCCUUUUUGUUCGCGAUUUUUUAAUUUCACGUGAAUCGCCAAGUACUGUCACUUCAAUCGACUGGUUUCUUUCGAAAACGCGAAGAAAUUUUCAAAUUCAAUUAGCAAUGAGAUAAAAAAGAACGGUGCACCGGAAUUCUUCCCUGACAAAAACCAAUAAACUAGUUCAAACUUUUGUCGUCCAUAGAAAUAUUAAUUCUCGAGUUAUCCGAACGUAUAAACUUGACAAAGGGACAGUCUCUGUUCGGUACACAAAAAAGAAAAUUGAAACUAAAAA